UUGACAACCCUGGAGACCAGCGUCUUCUAUUAAUCCACAGAACAUGAAACAUGCACAGGCACAGUGCAAGCUUCCCCAAACUGUCUUGCCAGCAUGACUCACUUUGUAUGAACUACUUCAGGGGAGAGAGAGUUCAAUCUUUGGUUUCUCUCUUAAAUGGAGGGUGUGAUUAA
rnacentral:sRNA from 1 species